GACCAAGGAGUCUAGCAUGUGCGCGAGUCAUUGGGACACAACUAAACCUAAAGGCGCAAUGAAAGUGAAGGUUCGCCUUGCGCGGACCAAGGGAAGAUGGGCGGUCGACGACAGUCGCCGCUCCGCACUCCCGGGGCGUCUCGUUCUCAUCGCGAGAAGAGGCGCACCAAGAGCGUACACGCUGGGACCCGAAAGAUGGUGAACUAUGCCUGGUCAGGACGAAGUCAGGGGAAACCCUGAUGGAGGUCCGUAGCGAUUCUGACGUGCAAAUCGAUCGUCGGAACUGGGUAUAGGGGCGAAAGACUAAUCGAACCAUCUAGUAGCUGGUUCCCUCCGAAGUUUCCCUCAGGAUAGCUGGCGCUCGUUUCGCACGAGUCUCAUCCGGUAAAGCGAAUGAUUAGAGGCAUUGGGGUCGAAACGGCCUCAACCUAUUCUCAAACUUUAAAUGGGUGAGAUCUCCGGCUUGCUCGAACUAUUGAAGCCGUGAGACACGGAUCAGAGUGCCAAGUGGGCCAUUUUUGGUAAGCAGAACUGGCGCUGUGGGAUGAACCAAACGCCGAGUUAAAGCGCCUAAAUCGACGCUUAUGGGAUACCAUGAAAGGCGUUGGUAACUUAAGACAGCAGGACGGUGGCCAUGGAAGUCGGAAUCCG
rnacentral:rRNA from 1 species